AACUCAAGAAAUUGAUGAUUAAUCAAAUAGCUGACUUGAUUUUGAAGGCUUGAAGGCUGAAGCAAGUGAAUUAUUGAUAUGAAUUGCCGAUAUUUUAAUACUAGUAUCUACUUUUUGGUAUAUGUAUACAUUGGUAAAUUAAUGUUAUUGGACAACUUGUUACUUAUAUGUUUUUAA